GUUUUUGGAGGAUUGCUACUUAAGGGAGAAAAUCGGCGACAGCGACGCCUUUGGUCAAGGGGUGUCAUAACCAAACCACGAUCAAAAGAGGAGGACGUCCGAAAAUAGCCCUAUAGUAAAUAUUUAACAUGUUGAAAUCUAUGGCAACAAUCAAGAGGUCAAUUCGAGAUGAAACAAUGAGAUUUACACAUUGAUGAUGGACACGAGGCACCCAAAUGUCACCAGUCAUAACCGGGCUAUUAAUGAAAACAGUUGUGACUGCCUGGCACCAAACAACCAUUCCUGGAUUCCUGACUGCU